GGGCGUAUGGUGUAGUUGGUUAUCACGCUCGCUUAGCAUAGCGUCAAGGUUUACGUAAGCGUGCGAGAGGUGUCCGGUUCAAUUCCGGAUUCGUCCA